rnacentral:rRNA from 1 species
GAUGAACGCUGGCGGCGUGCCUAAUACAUGCAAGUCGAGCGAACGGACGAGAAGCUUGCUUCUCUGAUGUUAGCGGCGGACGGGUGAGUAACACGUGGAUAACCUACCUAUAAGACUGGGAUAACUUCGGGAAACCGGAGCUAAUACCGGAUAAUAUUUUGAACCGCAUGGUUCAAAAGUGAAAGACGGUCUUGCUGUCACUUAUAGAUGGAUCCGCGCUGCAUUAGCUAGUUGGUAAGGUAACGGCUUACCAAGGCAACGAUGCAUAGCCGACCGGAGAGGGUGACCGGCCACACGGGAACUGAGACACGGUCCAGACUCCAACGGGAGGAGGCAGAGGGGAAUCUUCCGCAUUGAGCGAAAGCCUGACGAGGAAACGCCGGGGGGGGAAGGAAGGUUUUGGGAUCGUAAAACCUGGUUAUUAGGGAAGAACAUAUGGGGAAGUAACUGUGCACAACGUGACGGUACCUAAUCAGAAAGCCACGGCUAACUACGUG